UACAGAGGGGGCAAGCGUUGUUCGGAAUUACUGGGCGUAAAGGGCGCGUAGGCGGCCUUCUAAGUCGAACGUGAAAUCCCUGGGCUCAACCCAGGAACUGCGUCCGAUACUGGAAGGCUUGAAUCCGGGAGAGGGAUGCGGAAUUCCAGGUGUAGCGGUGAAAUGCGUAGAUAUCUGGAGGAACACCGGUGGCGAAGGCGGCAUCCUGGACCGGUAUUGGCGCUGAGGCGCGAAAGCCAGGGGAGCAAACGGG
rnacentral:rRNA from 1 species